rnacentral:rRNA from 1 species
ACGCUCGACACCUACGGGAGGCAGCAGUGGGGAAUAUUGCACAAUGGGGGAAACCCGUGAUGCAGCGACGCCGCGUGAGCGAAGAAGUAUUUCGGUAUGUAAAGCUCUAUCAGCAGGGAAGAUCAUGACGGUACCUGACUAAGAAGCUCCGGCUAAAUACGUGCCAGCAGCCGAGGUAAUCUGAGCGGGCUGGCAAGGC